rnacentral:rRNA from 1 species
UAGGGAAUCUUCCACAAUGGACGCAAGUCUGAUGGAGCAACGCCGCGUGAGUGAAGAAGGGUUUCGGCUCGUAAAGCUCUGUUGUUAAAGAAGAACACGUAUGAGAGUAACUGUUCAUACGUUGACGGUAUUUAACCAGAAAGUCACGGCUAACUACGUGCUAG